AAUAUUGGACAAUGGGCGCAAGCCUGAUCCAGCCAUGCCGCGUGAGCGAAGAAGGCCUUCGGGUCGUAAAGCUCUGUCCUAAGGGAAGAAACGGACGGUACCUUAGGAGGAAGCCCCGGCUAACUCCGUGCCAGCAGCCGCGGUAAUACGGAGGAUCCAAGCGUUAUCCGGAAUCAUUGGGUUUAAAGGGUCCGUAGGCGGCCUUAUAAGUCAGCGGUGAAAGUUUUUGGCUUAACCAAAAAAUUGCCGUUGAUACUGUAGGGCUUGAAUUUUUGUGAAGUAACUAGAAUAUGUAGUGUAGCGGUGAAAUGCUUAGAUAUUACAUGGAAUACCAAUUGCGAAGGCAGGUUACUAACAAACGAUUGACGCUGAUGGACGAAAGCGUGGGUAGCGAACA
rnacentral:rRNA from 1 species